rnacentral:snRNA from 1 species
GGAUAUGAAGGCAAUCUGGCUGUGACAUCUGUCACCCUAUUGAUCGAUGGGGUUGAUUUAGCUGAUCUGACCGGCUAGGUGUUCCAUUCUCCAUCACUGCUCUAUGUGCACCCCUUCCAAAGUUGUACACUUGGUCAAACGGGAUGACCAUUCCCAUUAGAGGAGGACCAUUCUUCAAUCAAGGGUAUAUGAAUAGCUACACUCCCCUGCUAGAACUUCCAAACAUGCUCUCAAAAUACUAGCAAAAGGAACUCAACAACACAUUAAAAAGACCAUUCACCAUAAUCAAGUGAAAUUCAUUCCAGGAU